rnacentral:tRNA from 1 species
CUCUAUGUGGCCCAGGGCGGAUUGGGGCUGGCCGCGCUGGUGGCGCUGCUGGCGGGGACGGGCCGGGCGCUCGGGCCGGGCCUUUGGGC